AGAUGAGUGGCGAACGGGUGAGUAACGCGUGAGUAACCUGCCCUGGAGUGGGGGACAACAGUUGGAAACGACUGCUAAUACCGCAUAAGCCCACGGAUCCGCAUGGAUCUGCGGGAAAAGGAUUUAUUCGCUCUAGGAUGGACUCGCGUCCAAUUAGCUAGUUGGUGAGGUAACGGCCCACCAAGGCGACGAUUGGUAGCCGGACUGAGAGGUUGAACGGCCACAUUGGGACUGAGACACGGCCCAGACUCCUACGGGAGGCAGCAGUGGGGGAUAUUGCACAAUGGGGGAAACCCUGAUGCAGCGACGCCGCGUGGAGGAAGAAGGUUUUCGGAUUGUAAACUCCUGUCGUUAGGGACGAUAAUGACGGUACCUAACAAGAAAGCACCGGCUAACUACGUGCCAGCAGCCGCGGUAAAACGUAGGGUGCAAGCGUUGUCCGGAAUUACUGGGUGUAAAGGGAGCGCAGGCGGACCGGCAAGUUGGAAGUGAAAACUAUGGGCUCAACCCAUAAAUUGCUUUCAAAACUGCUGGCCUUGAGUAGUGCAGAGGUAGGUGGAAUUCCCGGUGUAGCGGUGGAAUGCGUAGAUAUCGGGAGGAACACCAGUGGCGAAGGCGACCUACUGGGCACCAACUGACGCUGAGGCUCGAAAGCAUGGGUAGCAAACAGGAUUAGAUACCCUGGUAGUCCAUGCCGUAAACGAUGAUUACUAGGUGUUGGAGGAUUGACCCCUUCAGUGCCGCAGUUAACACAAUAAGUAAUCCACCUGGGGAGUACGACCGCAAGGUUGAAACUCAAAGGAAUUGACGGGGGCCCGCACAAGCAGUGGAGUAUGUGGUUUAAUUCGAAGCAACGCGAAGAACCUUACCAGGUCUUGACAUCCGAUGCAUAGUGCAGAGAUGCAUGAAGUCCUUCGGGACAUCGAGACAGGUGGUGCAUGGUUGUCGUCAGCUCGUGUCGUGAGAUGUUGGGUUAAGUCCCGCAACGAGCGCAACCCUUAUUGCCAGUUACUACGCAAGAGGACUCUGGCGAGACUGCCGUUGACAAAACGGAGGAAGGUGGGGAUGACGUCAAAUCAUCAUGCCCUUUAUGACCUGGGCUACACACGUACUACAAUGGCGUUUAACAAAGAGAAGCAAGACCGCGAGGUGGAGCAAAACUCAAAAACAACGUCUCAGUUCAGAUUGCAGGCUGCAACUCGCCUGCAUGAAGUCGGAAUUGCUAGUAAUCGCGGAUCAGCAUGCCGCGGUGAAUACGUUCCCGGGCCUUGCACUCACCGCCCGUCA
rnacentral:rRNA from 1 species